GGGCCAUUAGCUCAGUUGGUUAGAGCAGGGGACUCAUAAUCCCUUGGUCCUAGGUUCAAGUCCUAGAUGGCCCA
rnacentral:tRNA from 1 species